rnacentral:SRP_RNA from 1 species
CAGGAAGGCAGCAGCAGCAAGCGGCAUCCAUCGG